UUCUAUGGCCAUGCCACCCUGAACAAGCCUGAUCCCAUCUGAUCUCAGAAGCUAAGCAGGGUCGGGCCUGGUUAGUACUUGGAUGGGAGACCACCUAGGAAGACCAGGUGCUAUAGGCA
rnacentral:rRNA from 1 species